rnacentral:rRNA from 1 species
ACUCAAAUGAAUAGACGGGGGCCCGCACAAGCAGUGGAGUAUGUGGUUUAAUUCGACGCAACGCGAAGAACCUUACCAGGGCUUGACAUAUACAGGAAUAAGUUAGAGAUAGCUUAGCUCUUCGGAGCCUGUAUACAGGUGGUGCAUGGUUGUCGUCAGCUCGUGUCGUGAGAUGUUGGGUUAAGUCCCGCAACGAGCGCAACCCCUGUCCUUAGUUGCCAGCACGUAAUGGUGGGAACUCUAAGGAGACUGCCGGUGAUAAAUCGGAGGAAGGUGGGGACGACGUCAAAUCAUCAUGCCCUUUAUGUCCUGGGCUACACACGUACUACAAUGGCUAUAACAAAGAGAAGCGAAGCCGCGAGGUGAAGCAAAACUCAAAAAAAUAGUCUCAGUUCGGAUUGAAGGCUGAAAUUCGCCUUCAUGAAGCUGGAAUUGCUAGUAAUGGCAGGUCAGCAUACUGCCGUGAAUACGUUCCCGGGCCUUGUACACACCGCCCGU